CGUGUGUGCAUGUGAUGUGUGUGAGCGUUUGAGUGUGUGUGUGUGCAUGUGAGUGCAUAUGUGUGUCGGUGAGUAUUGGUCUGUGUGUGUGGACACCAGAGUGAGUGCUUGAGAGUGUGUAUGAAUGAGUGUGCAGGCGUGAGUGUGAGCAUGAGUGUGUGAGUGUGAGCAUGGGUAUAAGUGUGUGUGUGAGGGGUGAGGUUGCAGCAGGUGUCUUACUCAUCUAACUUUGCCAGUGGAAUAGGCAGGCGCUCCCCUCCCAUCUUGAGGUGCCCUGUGUGGCGAGCUCAGGGCUUCUGAGGACAAGAGGGUGGCAGAGGGCACCACUUAUGGCAUGAGUGAAGUCUGCUGGUGGCUGCUGUAAGCUGUUUGUCACGUUGCCUUACAGGCAUAUUCCAUAAAGCAAAUUGGUUUGCUUUUCCUUAAAUGAGCCUAGGGAAGCCAGGGGUAGGGUGACAGGUAGCUGGAGAGGAGGAUUUUCUCACUCGCUCGUAGAAUUGUACUGUGGGGUGAAUGGGCAGGUGCAUGAGGGGUCAGUAGCAGGUGGGCUGGGCGCAGAGCCCCACUGCACAGGGUCCCUCUGAUCCACAUGGGCCAGUCCCACCCCAGCCUCUUCCCAGGUGCUUUUACCUCCAGCACCUUCCGAUCUGCUCAGACUUCUAGUAGUGGGGUCUUUGGGGGUCCUCAGGGCUCUGUCCUGGAUGUGCCUUGAACUCCAGCCUGUUUCCUUUAGGGCCUCCAUGGCCUCCUGGGGCCCCGGAAACCUCCAUAUGCCUGUACUGCCCUGGCUGUACCCCUGCUCGUUCUUCUUGUCUGAGCUCCACACCUGUGUGUGUGUCUGCACAUCCUGCCCCCACCUCCCCACAGUGCUUCUCAGAACCUCCAUAACACCCUGCCGUGAAUAAUUCUAUGCGGCAACUUGACUGGGCCAUGGGGUGCCCAGAUAUUUGGCCUAACAUGAUUCUGGGCAUUUCUGUGAGGCUGUUUUUGGACGAGUUUAUCAUUUAAGUUGAUGAGUGAGCAAAGUAGAUUGUCCUCCCCAGUGUGGGGGGCGUCAUGCGAUCAGCUGAGGGUCCUGAGCUGAGUAGAACAUGGCUGGCCCUCCCCCAGGUAAGAGAGAACUCCUCCUGCCUGCCGGCCUUCCAGCUAGCACGUGGGCUUUUUCCUGCCUUCGGGCUAGGACUCCAACCCCAGCUCUUCCUGGGUCUUGAGCCUGCAGCUUUUGGACUAGAACCUACACUCCGGGCUCUCCUGGUUCUCAGGCCUUUGGACUCAGAUGGGACUGUACCUUCAGCUCUCCUGGGUCUCCAGCUUGCUGACUGCAGAUCUUGGAACUUCUUUGCCUCCAUAAUCACACAAGCCAAUUCCUUGUAAUGCAUCUCUAUCUAUCUAUGUCCCCUAUAGUUAAGUUUCCUGGGGAAUCCUGAAGGAUACACCCCCUUCCUCUCCCUCAGCACAGAGUUGUUCUGUGCACUUGGCUAAGCCUCCACAGCUUCCCUCAGGACAGGGCAUCCAUCACCAUCUCCCACCCGGACAGCAGCAAACACUGCCCUGGUGGCUUCCUGGUGCCAUCCUUGGCUCCUUCCCGUCCAUUCUCCAGCGGCUGCCAGCGUGAACUUGAAGAACCUGUGACAUGUCCUUCAGAGCAUUCUACUUCCUGUUCCAGAAGGACAACCCCUCAUACUUUCCCGUGGGCCACACACCACCCCUUCCUCAGCGCCCCAGGCUGGCAUCCUCUCCCUGCCUUCAGCCUUCUUUUCCGAGGUAGCGCUGAUACCAGAUGUCGCUAAAUAGCAACUUGCGUAACUGUUCAGCUUCUCUCUAGUAGAGGAGAUCAUAAGCCUCAUGAGAUCCCAGAGUCUCUGUCUUCUUCAGUACCCCCCAGCACCCACCCCAGGGCAGGGCCACAAAGAGUUGUGGAGUGCCCAAGUGGUGAAUGAACAUGGAAUGCAAAGGCUGAGGGUGCAUUGACCAGGAGCACGGGGGGCAGCAACUUGUGGAACAGCCGCAGCACAGAUGAAGUGGCCAGGCUCCUAGGGAAGCCUGACUAGGGAGCUGGAGGGAGGCCCGGGGAUGGCGGGAGAGAGGGAGAGGGUGUGUGUGGUCACGGCCUGGGAGGCCAGCAGACCAGAGCUGGGAGGGCUUUGCACAUCUCUCCGGAGCUUGGGUCCAUCCUGGAAGCCAUGGGGAGCAAGGAUUGAAACUGGGAGCGGGCUCUGGCUGUUGGAGGUAAAGCUGCUUGUACCACUGAGCCUUAACACUCAGGAAAGUGGUCCUGGCUGCAAGGUCAGGGAGCCAACGGAAGCCAGUGCCUGAUCCGGGCUGGGUUUUCUCAGCCGUCCCCCAGGAAGAGGCUGCAUCGGGAAUGAGGACACAGAAGCUGGCUAGGAUGGCUUCUGAUCCCAGUAGGGCCUCUCAGGAGCCCUGACAGCCAGCCUCUUGGUCUGACUAAUUCAAAAGAAUAUUCUUAUUUUACAGGCGUGGGGCAAGCUUUCCUUAUCAGCAGUGGGGAUGCACUGUUUUAUUUAUAGAAUCAACAUGUUUUCACAGCAACAAGAAUGACUUGAAUCCUGCCGGCAUGUUGGCGUUGUUUGUGCAAAGGGAGUUUAAAAGGCCUCUUGGAGGGCUGGGACGAUGGCUGGUGGCCCCAUGUCUUGUGCGGAAGUGGACACGAGGCAGGCAUAUUGCUACCGAUGACCCCACGGCAGAACCAGAGGGGUUUUACCCCAGAGGCUGUUUUAGGAAAAACAAAUCUCCAAUGAAAGCUACACUGUAAUCACACGAGAAGAAACUGUCACUCAAGAGGCCAAGGUGGUGGCACAAUAAGGCCAUUUAUUCAAAGGUGUCAUCUCGCUGGAGGGCAGAAGGAUUCCCUGGAGGCUGGGGGCCAGCAGGACAGAGGAAACAGAAGGUACAUGGCCGAUGAUGUCUUUCGACCACAGAAAGGGCUGGAAGAAGCAGGGACCCACUGUUUGAAUAAACCCAGUGGAAAAACAGAAGCCCCAUUUCAUACUUGACUCAGCUCUUCAAGUUUAAAUCUUGAAUCUCCUCAACUACACGGAACAGUGUUUCUCCCAAGUCAUCUGACACCCACUCUGUUUUCUGGAUCAUUCCUUCCUAGAGAACCUUGCUCUUGGAGGGCUGUGAUCUGCUCUCACCCACUUGCCUUUCUGAUCCACUGAGUGCAUCUCAAUAGUCACUUGGGGCGUUCUGAUCACUCAUGACCAGGAAGGGUUGGGUGGCUCGUGGAGCUUGGGAAGCACUCUCACUGUGGUGGUCCCCAUCGGUGGUCAUGGGGUUGCCACACUGAGCCACGUUUCUGCCCUCAUCUCUCUCUAUGUUACCAUGGAAUCUCUGACUGAGGACCCAUGGACUCACCCAAUGUGAUAAAGUCCUGAAGCCCAGCCAGGACUUCUGACCCCAGCCACAGGGCUUUCCGAUAUACAGACGCAUAGAACUUGAGAGGAAAUCGACUUAGAAACCUGAAGUUGGAAAACUGGUUGCCUGACAUUCUGUGCAAGACUGAAUAUCUGAGGAACGAGGGCUGUGUAACUUUGGGAACAUGUCUUUUCCGGCCUAUGUAGACCCCAGGAAACUUUGCAGUUCUUCCCCAAGUAUGGAUGGAGUCAAACUUGAUGUCCUUUCAUCCCCCCAUCCCAUCCCCUAAUCUGUAUCCUUUGGAAAUUUUAGAGUGCCAGGCCUCAUGUAAAUACACUGAAAACAAUUUAAGUCAUUUAUGUUCUACUAAGCCAAGAGUUCUUAGUGGUGGAAGAAGAUGGGGUCUUACAUGAAUGAAAGGGUGUUGGCUAUUUGCAUUGGUAUCAACAAAAGGACUAGAUGCUUGCACUAAAAGAAAAAGCUGAGAGAUGGGGGCAGGAAGUGGGGAGCUGGGACCCAAGCCCCACCUUCCUGAGUCUGCCUGUCACCAGGAAGGCUGGAGAUGCCAGACGCUGUCCUGAUGCUCCUCUGGGUGGUGUCUCCACCUGCUUGUUUUCAGGAGAGGCCUAGCAGAGGAGGUACAGGACAUUGCUAAGUGGAUUGAAUAAUAUUCCCCCAAAUUCAUGUCUAACCAGAACCUCAGAAUGUGACUUUAUUUAGAAGCAGGGUCUUUGCAGAUGUUAAGUCAAGAUAAGGUCAUAGUGAAUUAGAGUGGCCCCAAAUCCAGUGCCUGCUCUCCUUCUAGGAAGGGGAGACACAGGAAGAAGGCUGCGUGAAGCUGGAGGCAGAGACGGGGGCGGUGUAGCCAUGGCCAGGGAAUGGUGGCUGGGACAGGCAGGGAAGGUUCCUCCCUGAGCCUUCAGGGGAGCGUGGCCCUUCCACCUUCUUGUUGCCAGACUUCUGCCCUCCAGAAUUAUGAGACGAUAAAUUUCUGUUGUUUUAAGAACAAAAGAAUUAACACCUAGUUUGUGGUUGUUUUUAUGGUAGCCCUAGGAAAUGCAUACAGCUGGGGAGACCUUCUUCCAGGGACCUGCCUCUGAAAGCAUAAAAGCAAGUGCCUUCCAGCUUCUGGCAGGGCGGUGGCCCCAGCCUUGGUGCUCCCCCUACCCUCCCGCCCCCCGCCC